AAGUCGUAACAAGGUUUCCGUAGGUGAACCUGCGGAAGGAUCAUUAACACGUUCCACGUAUCCACCCGAGAACUCGUUUUUCAUCAAGGAUUAAGCUUCAGUUAGCCUGUAAACUCUGUGCAUUCCGCAAAAUAUUUCGAUAAGGAAACAGGCUGCAUAAGCCUGGCGGCUGUCAGUAGAAAUGUCUUCGAUUCAAUUCGAAGGUGGCGCUGAAGAUCUGGUCCUGUUUCUGUUCCUUAUCGAAUUUUACAAUUAUUUACCCCUUUCGAAACGUACUAAUUUAUAUUUCUUUCUAAGAAAUUGGCCGGCAUUUUCGGAUGCUUGUCUAACUCUAAGAAAAACCUUAAGAACAACUCUUAACAACGGAUAUCUUGGCUCUC
rnacentral:misc_RNA from 1 species